CUGCAAGCCUCCAGCAUGCUUGGGUCUGGAGGGACCCUGUGCAUUUCUAUAGUGCUUAAGAGAACAUUAUGAAAUAGUUUGAGGCCAUACGCUACCCAAUCCAGUGCAAGGUUACAGAAACUUUAGACAACU